rnacentral:misc_RNA from 1 species
GAUGAAGAACGUAGCGAAAUGCGAUAAGUAAUGUGAAUUGCAGAAUUCAGUGAAUCAUCGAAUCUUUGAACGCACAUUGCGCCCGCCAGUAUUCUGGCGGGCAUGCCUGUUCGAGCGUCAUUUCAACCAUCAAGCCCUGCUUGCGUUGGGGUCCUGCGGCUGCCCGCAGGCCCUGAAAACCAGUGGCGGGCUCGCUAGUCACACCGAGCGCAGUAAUACAUCUCGCUUUGGGCGUGCGGCGGGUUCUUGCCGUUAAACACCCCCUUUUUUACCAAGGUUGACCUCGGAUCAGGUAGGAAUACCCGCUGAACUUAAGCAUAUCAAUAAGCGGAGGA